AUGAACGCUGGCGGCAGGCCUAACACAUGCAAGUCGAACGGAGUUAUAUUGUAGCUUGCUAUGGUAUAACUUAGUGGCAGACGGGUGAGUAAUGUAUAGGAAUCUACCUAGUAGUACGGAAUAAUUGUUGGAAACGGCAACUAAUACCGUAUACGCCCUACGGGGGAAAAAUUUAUUGCUAUUAGAUGAGCCUAUAUUAGAUUAGCUAGUUGGUGGAGUAAUAGCCUACCAAGGCAAUGAUCUAUAGCUGAUCUGAGAGGAUGAUCAGCCACACUGGAACUGAGAUACGGUCCAGACUCCUACGGGAGGCAGCAGUGGGGAAUAUUGGACAAUGGGCGAAAGCCUGAUCCAGCCAUGCCGCAUGAGUGAAGAAGGCCUUUGGGUUGUAAAGCUCUUUUAGUGAGGAAGAUAAUGACGGUACUCACAGAAGAAGUCCUGGCUAACUCCGUGCCAGCAGCCGCGGUAAUACGGAGAGGGCUAGCGUUAUUCGGAAUUAUUGGGCGUAAAGGGCGCGUAGGCGGAUUAGUAAGUUAAAAGUGAAAUCCCAAGGCUCAACCUUGGAAUUGCUUUUAAAACUGCUAAUCUAGAGAUUGAGANNAGGAUAGAG
rnacentral:rRNA from 1 species